rnacentral:rRNA from 1 species
UGCAAGUCGAACGCGAAAGUGGAGCAAUCCAUGAGUAGAGUGGCAAACGGGUGAGUAACGCGUGGGUGACCUACCUUCGAGCGGGGGAUAACGUCCCGAAAGGGACGCUAAUACCGCAUGACAUCCUGCUUUUGAACAGGCGGAGAUCAAAGCCGGGGAUCGCAAGACCCGGCACUUGAAGAGGGGCCCGCGUCUGAUUAGCUAGUUGGUGAGGUAACGGCUCACCAAGGCGACGAUCAGUAUCCGGCCUGAGAGGGCGGACGGACACACUGGGACUGAGACACGGCCCAGACUCCUACGGGAGGCAGCAGUGGGGAAUUGUUCACAAUGGGCGCAAGCCUGAUGACGCAACGCCGCGUGGAGGAUGAAGGUCUUCGGAUUGUAAACUCCUGUUGCUCGGGACGAAAAGCUCCGACCUAAUACGUCGGAGUCUGACGGUACCGGGUGAGGAAGCCCCGGCUAACUCUGUGCCAGCAGCCGCGGUAAUACAGAGGGGGCAAGCGUUGUUCGGAAUUACUGGGCGUAAAGGGCGCGUAGGCGGCCUGCUAAGUCGAACGUGAAAUCCCCGGGCUCAACCCGGGAACUGCGUCCGAUACUGGCGGGCUUGAAUCCGGGAGAGGGAUGUGGAAUUCCAGGUGUAGCGGUGAAAUGCGUAGAUAUCUGGAGGAACACCGGUGGCGAAGGCGGCAUCCUGGACCGGUAUUGACGCUGAGGCGCGAAAGCCAGGGGAGCAAACGGGAUUAGAUACCCCGGUAGUCCUGGCCCUAAACGAUGAAUGCUUGGUGUGGCGGGUAUCGAUCCCUGCCGUGCCGAAGCUAACGCAUUAAGCAUUCCGCCUGGGGAGUACGGUCGCAAGGCUG